GCCUAACACAUGCAAGUCGCGCGGGCAGUAGCAAUACUGUUAGCGGCGGACGGGUGAGGAACACAUAGGAAUCUGCCUCAGAGCGGGGGAUAGCCCAGGGAAACUUGGAGCAAUACCGCAUGAUGUCGCAAGACCAAAGCUGGGGACCGCAAGGCCUAGCACUCUGAGAGGAGCCUAUGUCUGAUUAGCUAGUUGGUAGGGUAAAGGCAUACCAAGGCGACGAUCAGUAACUGGUCUGAGAGGACGAUCAGUCACACCGGAACUGAGACACGGUCCGGACUCCUACGGGAGGCAGCAGUGGGGAAUAUUGGACAAUGGGCGCAAGCCUGAUCCAGCAAUGCCGCGUGUGUGAAGAAGGCCUUCGGGUUGUAAAGCACUUUAAGCAGGGAAGAAAAAACUCGGUCUAAUACAUCGAGUCUUGACGGUACCUGAAGAAUAAGCACCGGCUAACUCUGUGCCAGCAGCCGCGGUAAUACAGAGGGUGCUAGCGUUAAUCGGAUUUACUGGGCGUAAAGCGUGUGUAGGUGGUUAUUCAAGUCAGUUGUGAAAUCCCUGGGCUUAACCUGGGAACUGCUUCUGAGACUGAAUGACUAGAGUACGGUAGAGGGUGGUGGAAUUUCCGGUGUAGCGGUGAAAUGCGUAGAUAUCGGAAGGAACAUCAAUGGCGAAGGCAGCCACCUGGGCCUGUACUGACACUGAGACACGAAAGCGUGGGGAUCAAACAGGAUUAGAUACCCUGGUAGUCCACGCCGUAAACGAUGAGAACUUGACGUCGGUUUGCUCUGCAAGUCGGUGUCGUAGCUAACGCGAUAAGUUCUCCGCCUGGGGAGUACGGCCGCAA
rnacentral:rRNA from 1 species